rnacentral:rRNA from 1 species
ACAUUGCGCCCGGUGGUAUUCCACCGGGCAUGCCUGUUCRAGCGUCAUUU